GGAGGAGUGCUCCGAAUUGGCAAGGAAAUGGUUUGCUAAACCAUCGGCCGUGUAAAAAGCGGUCUUGUGGGUUCGAGUCCCACCUCCUCCG
rnacentral:tRNA from 2 species